rnacentral:tRNA from 1 species
GCCCGAGUAGCUCAGCAGGUAGAGCAUCUCGCUGUUAACGAGAGGGUCGCAGGUUCGAGUCCUGUCUCGGGCG